AUGAGCUAUUAUUCUGUUUCUCUGUCAAUGUCCAAGUCCGAUAGAAAGAUACAAUCUUCUUCACGAGAGACUAAAGAGAAAAUUAGGGUUCAUCGUCUUUUUUUUAUCUGUGAAAUCAAAGAGCUAGACGAACAAUGGAGAUUUAGCAUGUCAAGCGAGACGAACCGUCAUGAAGAAUAUUUGUAUCAAGCUUCUACCGCAUCGUUUUGUCUUUGGUUCUUUCAUGUGAGACGUUACGAAGUGACUUGAUUCAUCGCUUUUAAGAAACAUCUUAACUCAAUCGACGCAAAUCAAGCACAAGUCUCAUUCAAUGAUACUCAUCCAUUCAAGGCGGUGUGUAUUUACCUAUAAAAGGCGUUUCUUCCCUGCGUUUACUAAGAUCGUCUGGGCUCUCAUUCUUAAACAGUGGCUCGAUUUGAAUUCUCUUGAGAUGACACUGACUAUAACCAGAGACACUUGAUGAUCUGAAAUUCCAGAUGGCCACUGUAGGCAGUUUGUGGUGACACGUCUUCUUCGAUAAUGGAAAGCUCACAAUGAAAUAAAGGAGGCGGGCUUAUAGGGUAGACAUGGUCUUGCUUGACAAUAAGACGUUGUUUGUCAGGUGAGGAAACUACGGUUUACCUACUUCAUAAAAGUUAGUACUCUUGCAUGUUGAGCCAAAGAAUGCAGAGGACCAUCCACAUGAUGAUAUGACAGGGGAUGUUAAUCUCUCUAUGGACUCGAACCCAAUUGUAAACAACAUUGAUCUAGACUCUAGAUAACACCAACAGGUGUGAUGCUACUGCAUCAAUCGAAGGCUGUUCAGAAGUGUCUGAACCAAUUCCUCCGAAACUGAUCCACUGAUCAACACGAAGGAGGAAACAAUGGAUGGUGACAAGGGUCCAAAUCUUAAGAAACCUCCAGAUGCUUGAUCACUCCAACUAUGGAGACAAUGAAGUUGGCGAAAAGAUUCCCAGUUCCAUUUCCGGUUCCUAUGUUUUUAAGCUUCACUGAGUAAUGUUGUUGUCUUUCAACUUUUUAACUAUCCAGUUCUUGGUUAUCGUUAGUUAAGUAUUUUGGUACACCCGAUAAUUUUAGUAAUAUGUGUUGUGGUUCUGGAACUUUUUUAGCAACCAGAUUUUUGGUUUCGUAUUGUUUUGGUAUUAUUUUGAAAACAAUCAAAAAAUAUAUAGCAACAAUAAA